UGCAGGCUCGAUCCCUGCCAGGUCAGGGCGCAUGUGGGAGGCAACCAGUCGAUGUCUCUCUCACAUCGAUGUUUCUCGGUGUCUCCAUUCCUUUCACUCUUUCCAAAAAUCAAUGGGAAAAUAUUCUUGGGUGAGAGUUAACAAUAAGAAUAAUAAGAAUUUGAACUUUUUUUGAUAGGCCUGGGGAAACUGAAGAAUUUUGAGCAGAAAAAUGAUAUGCUCAGAGCUGGCCUGGCACAGGAAAGAGGCUAGAACAGCUUUUUCAAUUGUCCUGAAGAGUUGGUUGAUCUGAAUAAUCUAGGACAUCAUUACCAAGCACAAAAAUACCCUCAACCCAUUCCAGAGUUCUCUACUUUUUUCUGUGGCUUAUACCUCCAAUUUUCCUACCAACCAAGGCAACCCCUGUGAAAGGGUCGUUCGACCCCCAGGUUGAGAACCGCUGACUUAGAGGAAACUGAUUCAAUUCCCAGACCGAUCCAGAAAUGGAUUAAAGAUACUUCGUGAUCUCUUGGAGGGCUUACCCAGGACGUCCAGCUGCACAGUAAAGGUGGCUUCUCCUGCUCUGUUCUUGGCCACACAUACAUAAGCC